CCUACGGGAGGCAGCAGUGGGGAAUAUUGCACAAUGGGGGAAACCCUGAUGCAGCGACGCCGCGUGAGCGAUGAAGUAUUUCGGUAUGUAAAGCUCUAUCAGCAGGGAAGAAAAUGACGGUACCUGACUAAGAAGCCCCGGCUAACUACGUGCCAGCAGCCGCGGUAAUACGUAGGGGGCAAGCGUUAUCCGGAUUUACUGGGUGUAAAGGGAGCGUAGACGGCGGUGCAAGCCAGAUGUGAAAGCCCGGGGCUCAACCCCGGGACUGCAUUUGGAACUGGGCUGCUAGAGUGUCGGAGCGGCAGGAGGAAGGACUAGUGUAGAGGGGAAAGGCGGAGAGAGGAGGAGGAACACCAGGGGAGAAGGCGGACUGAGGGACGAUGAAGGAAGUUGAGGCUAGAAAGCGUGGGGAGCAAACAGGAGUAGAGACCAUAGGAGUC
rnacentral:rRNA from 1 species